ensembl:lncRNA
GUCCUGCAUCAACUCAUGACUCACCAGAGCUUUUUGGUUCUUGGACACGACUCUGCUGCUGAACUCCUGCUGGUUCCUGUUCUGGUUUCCCAUCUGGACUCACCUUCCAUGUUUGGAUUCCCACCUCUGUUCCUAUUCUGUCUCCAACCUGUGGAUGUUCUGUUCUGUGUUCCACCAUCUCCAGAGUUGCCUGAUUCUGCUACCUUCAGUUUAGUUUCUUCCCAUUCACACCUGAGCAGCUGUUUCAUGACCUGAACUCUGCAGAAUCAGACGGAGGAAAGAAGAACUUCCGUCAACAGAAACGCUGAGGAGAAGCUGAACGUGAAGGAGAGUUCUGAGGAUCGUGAAGACGUUCUGAAAGAUUGAAGCGUAGAAACCAUCCACAAGCUGGACCAAUUAGCUCAAAGUGACGUCACAGAACUUUUUACUAGGAGAUAACAGAAUAUUGUAACGGGCUGAUAUUGUUGUUGAUGUUGAGGUUUCAGUGUUUAUUGUUCAGUUCCAGAUUUACCUAAUGUCAGUGAACGUGCCAUGUUUAGUUAGCUCACCUCUGAUUGGCUGAGAGUCAGC